rnacentral:rRNA from 1 species
AACGUAGGAGACGAGCGUUAUCCGGAUUUACUGGGCGUAAAGCGCGUGCAGGCGGUUCGGCAAGUUGGAUGUGAAAGCUCCUGGCUCAACUGGGAGAGGUCGUUCAAUACUACCGAACUAGAGGAUGGUAGAGGGAGGUGGAAUUCCGGGUGUAGUGGUGAAAUGCGUAGAUAUCCGGAGGAACACCAGUGGCGAAAGCGGCCUCCUGGACCAUUUCUGACGCUCAGAUGCGAAAGCUAGGGUAG